UUGGCUUGCGGGCCGCUCACAACCACAUAAUUGCAUCAGUACCUUUUUUAAUCCUUUUCUUCUUUCUCUGUGCAUCCUUCGGCUUCGCUUUUCUCCUCCGCUCUGUUCAUCUGCCCUUCCUUUUGUUUUUCGUUUCCAUUUGGCGCCUUUUCUGCGUGGUUGCGCCCACAACCCACAGCUCAGAGCACAUAGUAACUGAUCGCCACGAAAGCCACGGCGAACGCGGCUUCUCGUGUUUCUUUCCCCACACUCUGAAGACCUGCGUUGCGACUUACCUUCUACGUGUGUCUCUCUGUUUGUGAUCUCCUGCGCUCAUGUAGGCCCUGACCACUAAGGAACCCGCUUUUUUUUGACCUUGCUGCAAACGCAUCACCACUUCCUUCCCCGCAUUUCCGCUUGCCACGCGAGCGUGCCCACCGACACCGACAGGCCUGCCCUCGGCUCGCGCUCAGCCACAAAGCACCACCGCGUCUCGUCGGAUUUCACAGCUAUAGCAGUCACAGACAAUCAAAACAAUACAGCGGACGAGGAGAGAGGGUGCUGCAGCUUCUCCUGUCGCCCAUUUCACAUGGUGCUUGACUCCCACUUUUUUUGUGAACUGUUCUCAGAUGGCCGCGAACGCGCUUCAUAGCCACAUCGUGGCUGCGCUCCACAACGCAGCCACGAAGUUGCCCUCCUCGGUGCAGCCAUACGCAAUGCUGCUGACGCGCGAGGACAUGGUCUCAACCACCUUGGCAACUGCCAUUGCGACGGCUGUCAUUCUGUACACCGUCAUCACUGUCGUGCUACCCGUGCUGCGCAUGGACUUUUAUCUUUCGAAGCUGCCGACCAUUAAGAAUGGCAUUCCAUUUCUGGGGCAUGCCCUGUUGCUGGCGGGCCCCUCCCCGUGGUCGAAAAUGUCGAACUGGAGUCUGUAUCCCGAGAAGAACCUGCCACAAAAGAAGAAGAGUGCCGACGGCCCUCAGACAAGCCGCCUGGUGACCUACAACGUUGCCGGCAUGCGGGUCAUUUACAUCAACGAGCCCCGCCUACUGCGCCGUGUCCUACUCACGCACCAGCGCAACUACCGCAAAGCGCUUGCGGCAGCGUACAAACACUUCAUGUGUCUCCUCGGCACCGGCCUGGUCACCUCGGAGGACGAGCAGUGGAAGAAGGGACGCCUGCUGCUGUCGCAUGCGAUGCGCAUCGACAUUCUGGACAGCGUCCCAGAAAUGGCUAUGAAGGCGGUCGACCGCAUUUUGUUGAAGCUCGACGCGGUUGACGCGAAGAACCCGUCCGUGGACCUGAACGAGGAGUACCGCCACAUGACACUGCAGGUGAUCAGCGAGAGUGCGCUGUCACUCUCCGCCGAAGAGUCCGACCGCAUCUUUCCGGCUCUCUACUUGCCUAUUGUGCACGAGUGCAACAAGCGUGUGUGGGCACCGUGGCGUGCCUACAUGCCAUUCCUGCAAGGCUCGCGCGUGCGUAACCACUGCCUCUCCGAGCUGAACAAGGUGCUGAGAAACAUCAUCUGCCGUCGAUGGGAGCAGCGCAAUGACUCCAACUGCACAGGGAAACCCGACAUUCUGGCGCUGUGCAUUUCGCAGAUCGAUCGCAUGGACGAAAAGAUGAUUGUGGGGCUCAUUGACGAUGUAAAGACAAUCUUGCUCGCCGGCCACGAAACGUCAGCCGCGCUGCUGACGUUUGCGACCUACGAGGUCCUGCGCCACCCUGAGAUCCGCCAGAAGAUCUUGGAGGAGGCCACGCGCCUCUUCGAUCCUGCCCGUUGCACGCGCACCGUGCAGACUCGCUACGGCCCUCGCGGUGUGCCAGCGGUGAAUGACGUGCGAGACCUGGUGUGGACGCCUGCAGUGCUGCGCGAGACGCUGCGGCGGCACAGCGUUGUGCCGCUGGUGAUGCGGUACGCGGCGAAGGACGACGUCUGGCCUGCGGCAGACACUGGCCUCGACGCCGACGUCCGCAUCCCCGCUGGCUGCACGAUCGCUGUUGGCAUCGAGGGUGUGCACAACAAUCCUGAUGUGUGGAACAAGCCAGAAGUCUUCGACCCGACCCGGUUUAUUGAUGCCGAGAUUGCCAACGAUACAAACUAUCUGAACCAAAGCACGAAGGAUGUGAAGUUCGCCAAGAAAAUCGACCCAUACGCUUUUAUUCCCUUCAUCAACGGCCCCCGCAACUGCCUUGGGCAGCAUCUCUCCAUGAUCGAGACGCAAGUCGCCUUGGCGUACAUGGUGCUGAACUAUGACCUAACGAUUUACCGCGACCCUUCGUACAAGGGUGACGCUGCGGCGUACGAGGACGCUGUCGGGCGCCACCACGACUUCAUCAUUCCGCAGGUUCCGCACGACGGGCUGAAGGUGUGGGGCACACCGAACAAGUUGUUCAUGUAAAGCGAACUGAGAAUGGCCUCCACCCGCGGAAGAGAGAGGGGUGGGUGAAAAGAAAAGGACAGCGCUCCGCCGCACGCCACAUAUACGCCUAUACGCACACGUUUUCCUCUCCAACAACCCUCCCUCCCACAUACAUCUCUGCUUCCUCGGCGCCGCACGCCCGAUAG
rnacentral:misc_RNA from 1 species